AAACACAUUGUUUAUAAUUCUCAGACCAAGAGAUCACCCAAGGGACCGAAUCGCCCCAAUCAGAUAGCUCGACUGGCCACAACUGCUGUCCAAAUACCAGAAUGCAUCCAUGCCAUCUGGUUUUUGACAUUACUGCUGUGGACAGAUUUUCAGCAAUGCAGCCAUCCUGGUUGCUGAAGCCACAGAGGUAUUUUCAAGGACAAAAACCAAUGCUGAUCAAAACAUGGUCUAGUGAUGGAAUUCCA